UACGAAGGGGGCUAGCGUUGCUCGGAAUCACUGGGCGUAAAGCGCACGUAGGCGGAUCUUUAAGUCAGUUGUGAAAUCCCAAGGCUCAACCUUGGAACUGCCUUUGAUACUGGGGAUCUCGAGUCCGGAAGAGGUGAGUGGAACUGCGAGUGUAGAGGUGAAAUUCGUAGAUAUUCGCAAGAACACCAGUGGCGAAGGCGGCUCACUGGUCCGGUACUGACGCUGAGGUGCGAAAGCGUGGGGAGCAAACAGG
rnacentral:rRNA from 1 species